rnacentral:misc_RNA from 1 species
AACGCACAUUGCGCCCCUUGGUAUUCCGGGGGGCAUGCCUGUUCGAGCGUCAUUUCAACCCUCAAGCUAUGCUUGGUCUUGGGCACUGCCGGUGACGGCUUGCCUUAAAAUCAGUGGCGGUGCCAUUCGAGCUCUACGCGUAGUAAUCAUACCCUCGCGAUUGAGUCUUGGUGGAUGCUAGCCAGCAACCCUCAAAUCUUUUAUGGUUGACCUCGGAUCAGGUAGGGAUACCCGCUGAACUUAA